GAUGAACGCUGGCGGCGUGCUUAACACAUGCAAGUCGAACGGUGAACGAGGGAGCUUGCUCCCUCCGGAUCAGUGGCGAACGGGUGAGUAACACGUGAGCAAUCUGCCCUGGACUCUGGGAUAAGCGUUGGAAACGACGUCUAAUACCGGAUACGAGGCGUGGGGGCAUCCCCAACGCCUGGAAAGAACUUCGGUCCAGGAUGAGCUCGCGGCCUAUCAGCUAGUUGGUGAGGUAACGGCUUACCAAGGCGACGACGGGUAGCCGGCCUGAGCGGGUGACCGGCCACACUGGGACUGAGACACGGCCCAGACUCCUACGGGAGGCAGCAGUGGGGAAUAUUGCACAAUGGGCGCAAGCCUGAUGCAGCAACGCCGCGUGAGGGACGACGGCCUUCGGGUUGUAAACCUCUUUUAGCAGGGAAGAAGCGAAAGUGACGGUACCUGCAGAAAAAGCACCGGCUAACUACGUGCCAGCAGCCGCGGUAACAC
rnacentral:rRNA from 1 species